GACGAACGCUGGCGGCGUGCUUAACACAUGCAAGUCGAACGGAAAGGCCCUGCUUUUGUGGGGUGCUCGAGUGGCGAACGGGUGAGUAACACGUGAGUAACCUGCCCUUGACUUUGGGAUAACUUCAGGAAACUGGGGCUAAUACCGGAUAGGAGCUCCUGCUGCAUGGUGGGGGUUGGAAAGUUUCGGCGGUUGGGGAUGGACUCGCGGCUUAUCAGCUUGUUGGUGAGGUAGUGGCUUACCAAGGCUUUGACGGGUAGCCGGCCUGAGAGGGUGACCGGUCACACGGGAACUGAGACACGGGCCAGACUCCGAAGGGAGGCAGCAGUAGGGAAUCUGCCGCAAUGGGCGAAAGCCUGACGGAGCACCGCCGAGUGAGGGAUGAAGGUCUGCGGAGCGUAAGACUCUGUGAGGAGGGAAGAACAUAUGUGGAAGGAACAGUGCACAUCUUGACGGUACCGAAUCAGAAAGCCACGGCUAACUACGUG
rnacentral:rRNA from 1 species